AUGGUCCCCGGGCUUCUCAGGCCUGGCCACACUGCGCAGGCGUCCCCCGAGUCCUCAACUCUGCUCUUUGACCUCCCGCCCCACCCCCGCCCCUCCACAGCCACCGGACGGCUCUUCCGGUGUUGUGGAGGUUGUUCCGGUUCGCGGCGGUUCCCGGGUUUUGCGUUCCGCGCCCGGCCGGAAACCCCUUCGCAUAGCAGCCGGUUCCGGUUCGAACUUUGUAUCUUUGCUAAAGUCAGUGAUGUGAAAAGACCUGACAUGGAUGAUAUUGCUGAUAGGAUGAGGAUGGAUGCUGGAGAAGUAACAUUAGUGAACCACAACUCCAUAUUCAAAACCCAUCUCCUGGGACAAACAGGUUUUCCAGAGGACCAGCUUUCACUUUCUGACCAUCAGAUAUUACCUUCCAGGGAAGGAAAUCUGGACCGAUCUUAUACAUGUUCUACAAGAAGUGCAGCUUAUAAUCCAAAUUAUUAUUCAGGAUUCUUUGUCAGCAAGAUGAGAUCUCCUCCCCUAAAAAGACACAACCCUUCCUCAGACAGUUUUCUUGGCUCAGGAGAUUUAAGAACCUUUGGCCAGAGUGCAAAUGGCCAGUGGAGAAAUUCCACUCCAGCAUCAGGUUCAACUUUACAAAAAUCAAGAAACAGCCGAAGUCUUUACCUCGAAACCCGAAAGACCUCAAGUGGAUUAUCAAACACUUUUACAGGAAAGGCAAAUCAUCACUGCCAUGUGUCUGCAUACGAAAAAUCUUUUCCUAUUAAGCCUGUCCCAAGUCCAUCUUGGAGUGGUUCAUGUCGCCGAAACCUCUUGAGCCCCAAGAAAACUCAGAGGCGACAUGUUAGUACAGCAGAAGAGACAGUCCAAGAAGAAGAAAGAGAGAUUUACAGACAGCUACUACAGAUGGUUACAGGGAAACAGUUUUCUGUAGCCAAACCCACCACACAUUUUCCUUUACACCUGUCCCGAUGUCUUAGUUCUAAUAAGAAUACUUUGAAAGACCCACUGUUUAAAAAUGGAAGUUCUUGUGCAGCUCAGAUUAUUGGCUCUGACACUUCAUCAUCUGGAUCUGCCAGCAUUUUAACUACCCAGGAACAAGUGUCCCACAGUGUGUAUUCCUUAUCGUCUUAUGCCCCAGAUGUUGUUGCAUUUGGAUCCAAAGAUUCUGAUCCUCUCCAUCAACCCCAACAUCACCACUCUCUUCUACAUCAGCCAGACAACUUACCAGCUUCAAAUACACAAUCGGAAGGAUCAGACUCUGUGAUUUUACUCAAAGUGAAAGAUUCCCAGACUGCAACUCCCAGUCCUGCAUUUUUCCAGGCAGAGCUGUGGAUCAAAGAAUUAACUAGUGUUUAUGAUUCUCGAGCACGGGAGAGAUUGCGCCAGAUUGAAGAGCAGAAAGCACUAGCAUUGCAGCUUCAAAACCAGAGACUGCAGGAACAGGAACAUUCAGUACAUGAUUCAGUAGAACUGCAUCUUCGUGUCCCUCUUGAAAAGGAGAUCCCUGUAACGAUCACCCAAGAAACAGAAAAGAAAGGUCAUAAAUUAACUGAUAGUGAAGAUGAAUUUCCUGAAAUCACAGAGGAAAUGGAGAAGGAAAUAAAAAAUGUAUUUCGUAAUGGGAACCAAGAUGAAGUUCUGAGUGAAGCAUUCCGCUUGACCAUUACACGCAAAGAUAUUCAAACUCUGAACCAUCUGAACUGGCUCAAUGAUGAGAUCAUCAAUUUCUACAUGAAUAUGUUGAUGGAGCGAAGUAAAGAGAAGGGAUUACCAAGUGUGCAUGCAUUUAAUACCUUUUUUUUCACUAAGUUAAAAACGGCUGGUUAUCAGGCAGUGAAACGUUGGACAAAGAAAGUGGAUGUGUUUUCUGUUGACAUUCUUUUGGUGCCCAUUCACCUGGGAGUGCACUGGUGUCUUGCUGUUGUGGACUUUCGAAAGAAGAAUAUUACCUAUUACGACUCUAUGGGUGGGAUAAACAAUGAAGCCUGCAGGAUCCUCCUCCAAUACCUAAAGCAAGAAAGCAUUGACAAGAAAAGGAAAGAGUUUGACACCAAUGGCUGGCAGCUCUUCAGCAAGAAAAGCCAGGAAAUUCCACAGCAGAUGAAUGGAAGUGAUUGUGGCAUGUUUGCCUGCAAAUAUGCUGACUGCAUUACCAAAGACAGACCAAUCAACUUCACACAGUGCUCGUAAUGACCUACCUCCCCUUAAAAAGGAACACUCGAGAGAUGAUGAACUCUAUCUAGAUAUAGAGCCUUCAACAGAAACCACAGUCCCAACAAUCACUCAUGGACCCUGUACAGAGAAAAUCAGAACAUUUGAGAAUACAUGGCCCAAGGCAUGGAGGGAGAAGACUCCUACAAAGUGGAACCUGGAUCAGAUCAUGAGUCAAAGUCAACCUCUGUCCCCAGCUGCUCCUGGGAUGCCUGGCGUGGCCUUGCACUGCAGAAAGUUACAAAGGGCCUGGGGAGAAGGUGCCUCAAACAGUGGAAGGAGAGGAUUGUUGAAGGAGUGAAGGAAUUACUCAGCGUCCCUUCCAUUUUGACAGCCUCUUCUCCAAACCUUGGGUCUGGUUUACUGUAAAAGCCGGGGUCUCUGGCUUCAAAUGCAUUAUCCACCUAGCAGAACUAUCUCCUUCCAAUAACAUUAACAGUAAGAAUAAGCAUUUAUUGAGGCCUUUUGUGCCAAACACUUUAUAUACAUUACCUCAUUUAAUCCUGACAAGUGCAUGACAUAGGUGCUGUUACUAUCCCUAUUUCUCAGAUGAGAAACCACAGAGCGUAGGGGUUGGCUAAGUUAGCCCAAAGUCUCAGAGUGACAGUGAUAGGAAGAGGGACUCCAAGCCAAGAACAUAUGUCCCCAAAUCCCUUAGAAAGCCCCAUGAGGUGCUGCUUCCACACAGCCAGCACUGUUGCAUCUUAACAGGGCAAGCACCUGACGUGGACAUCAUGGGAGCUCUAUCAAUGUGAAACCAAAGAAGAAAACUUUGGUGAGGUCUGCAAAGGCUAACCCUCCCUCUUUUGUCUCCUGAGAGGGAUUGAGGUCCUUGUCUCUUCACCUUAGAUUGGAGGGUCAAGCGGCAUGGUGGGGUCCCUCUGCCUUUGGGUUCAUUUCCUCUCGGCUUCUCCAGAAAGAGGUACCGAGGAAUUCCCUUCACGCCUCCUACCACAACCCGUUCUCCCACUGCCUUUCUUUUGCCUCCCACUCUCAUCCCCAAUUCUGGGUUGCCCACAUUAGCACGUUUUCCUUUGAGGCCUCUGGUCCUAACCUAGAAGGGGGAAGGGCUGAAGAUAGGAGGGUGAUGGGGAGGGAGACACCAAGCAGGUGGAGCUCAUCCCCACAGGGGCCCAGGAAUCAAGGGUGUGUGCAUGGGGACAUCUGGAGACAUUUCUGGUGUUCCACAGUGUUCCAUUUUGUCUUUUCGCUUGUUUCUGUGUUUCAUGCUCUGUCCCCUCCGUAUGGAGUUUCCUCAGCCAUUCCAACUGGUUUGAGAAUCUCAGGAAUGUGUAGCCCUGUGCCCUCCUGCUCCCCACCCCCACCUCCAUACACAGAGCCCCUGUAGAGGUGGAACUUAGUUCAAGCUAGAGGCCGGCCGAGUGGGGGAGGGUCCUCCUCUUUUACUGGAGAAGAAAGACAACACACCCUUCCUCCCACCCUCUCUCUGAUUUCUUCCCCAAAAUCAGUCUGCCACUUGCAGCUCCCUCUCACACAGACUGGCCUUUCCCACCCUCACCCCUCACUGGGGGCCUCUGUUGAUGGUAAUUACUCCUAAUUGUUUUCUCUUGGCUCACGAGGCCUUCCUUGCCUGCCCUGAGCCAACAGUUCUGUGUCUGCUCAGAAAAUGGGCUCAACUCAGACCAGAGGCAAACCUCUUUGGGUCUCAAAACCCAGACUUUAGAUCUAAUACAGAGGGCAGUUUUGACCAUGGGUGAGCUGUAAGGAAGGCUGCUGCUUGGACUCAAGGCAGAUUGCAGCAAGAAAUACUGAUCAGACUUCAGGAGCACAUUCCAGCAGCAAGGCUCCUGGAGAAGCUCUAAGCAUUUUCUUCCAUGAGGAUCUUAGUAGCAGAGAGCUUGGGCCUGGCCUGGGGGACUGGACUCCUGAAUGGGGUCUCUGAGCCCUGCAGCUGAGGCCUUGGUGGUAUGGAGCUGCCUAUCUUACCGUCCAAGGCCUUUCUCCACCGGAAGACCAGCCUCCGGCCCCAUACAUCAUCCUAUGCCAGUGGGGUGAGCAGGCCUUUUGCCAGAGCUUGAGACGAGACCAUCACAGUCACACAUAUGUAAGCAUGGAGGCUUUGUAUUGCUCCCUCCUGGUGCCCCCAGCGUCUGGAUCAAUACUAUGGUAACUGGUGUAGGGAGGAAGAUGAGGGUGAGAGAGGGGGACUGGGGAUGGUGGGGGUAGACAUGCACACAUUGUCCCUUUUUCCCUCUGCAGGGCUGCUGACCCUGAUUCAUUCUACCUCCAGAGGAAGAUCCUUAGUGAUCCAGGGCUCUUUACAAUCCUAUAUAGCCCUUGGAAAAUUAUUUUGGGGUGUUAGCCAGAGAGAAGAGAGGACAUAGAAGUGUUUAAUUAAUUAAUUAAUUCAAAAAUAACUAAGUGCCUACUCUAUGCCAGAUCCCUGUGUUAGGUGCUGGAAAUGUCCUCAGUCUCCCAGUCCAAGCACAUAACACUUUGCUCUGGUCCCAGCCUAAAACAUUUUGUCCCCAGGCCCUGUUCCUGGCACCACCACCAUCAGCCUGAGCCUCCUCUCUCUGGUGCAUUCCACGCCUCCCUGACUCACUGCUACUUUGUUCAGCUGCAGAGCACAUUUUCUAGUGAGCAGAGAAGCCUCUGCAAGAAGGGGCCUGAGGAAUAGACAUGAGGAUGGAGAAAAGUGACUGCACUAGUUUGCAUUCCCACCAACAGUGCAAGAGGAACCAGUGAACUUGUGGAACUUUCCAGAACUCUAUAGGAGUUGAGUGCUUGUAAGUGAUACAAACAUGGCCAUUGAAAAUCCACUCAAUCAUCUAAGGUCAGUGUCAAACCCACCCUGUACUACUUAGUGCCUGAAGUUUUCUCACAUGACUCCCACUCCUAUACCCCCAGCUUGGGGAACUGCACACCUUAUAUCUAUGAAGAGCCCAGGUCAGGCUCAACUGAGGGUCUCCCAUCUGAUGGACUUGGGAUGGGGUCACACUGGGGUCACACUGGAGGGUCAAGCCCAGCAGGGUUUAGGAGGAAAGAAAGAAUGGUGAUAGAUAUUAGAAAUAAUAAUCAUGAUUCUGAUGUGUAUUGAGUGCUUAACAUGUGCUAAGCAUUGUGUAACCAACCAAUGAAGUGAAUAAUAUCAUUAUUCCCAUUUUAUAGAUGAGGAAAUGAGUUCAGUCAAAAUUGUCAAUUGCUCAGGAUCCCUCCACCAGUAAGUGGUAGAAGCUAACACUGACAGCAAGUCCGUUUGACUCCAAAGUCUUUUAAAAAGAGAAGGAGCGAGAGGGCAUUGAGGGGACAGCCCCAUCCCUGGUGACAUUUCAGGUGAAUUGAGUUCCUCAGUGCAGCAUUUGGGGCACAAAGCUGCAUCAGAAAUCUCCUCUGGGGAGAAAGGGCCAGAGCCAGCAGUCUGCCUGAGCCAGUCCUUGGGGGUAUGAGGACAGCAAGCAGGCUGGGCUGAAGGCACUGGCUCUUGAGGGCUUUCACCAGGUCUCAAAGACCUCUUUGUUCAGUGCUCCGACUUCUACAAAGAACUCUCCAACCCAGAGUCCUCUGGAACCUUGGCCUGAUCCACCAGCAUACAAGGGUCUCCAGUCCCACUCACCCUCUGCCAGAGAACAGCUAGCCCCCAUGAAGCCAUGGGGUCUCUAAAAGGGUGGGUGGCUGAGGAACCAGGGCCAGACAGCUAGGGACAGGGAGUGGGCAGGAGGGACUAGGUCAGGGAGAAUGAGAGUGGGGGGGCUGCCUGCUGGCUGCUCCCCAAACAAACACAUUUUCUCCUUUUGAGGCAGAGAAUCAAAGAGUUACCAGCUGUUUAUUUUUACAUUGCUUAAAAGAGUUUUGCAAAUUCUUACCAAUUGCUGUUGAAGAGCUCAGAAUUUUCCCCCAACCACUUGAUACAGUUCCCCAACCUCUUUCCACAAUCCUUCCCAUUGCCCCCUCAGCCUCUGCUAUAUCAAAAUGAGCAGGGUAAGGGGCAUCUGGCUGGCUUAGAAGGUCGAGUAUGUACGCUUUGAUCUCGGGGUCAUGAGCUGAAGCUUCACGUUGGGCAUAGAGCUAAUUAUAAAAAAGAAAAAAAUACAAGAACAGGAAAAGUAGGAAAAUAUGACAGUUGAACUCUUAAUGGAUGUCCUUGCACUUAAUUCCAGCCCCUCAUUCCCAGACUGGAGUCUAGAAGGAACUAGAGAACACAGGAAGGAACCCUAGUCCCAAGGAGCUCUGGAGGAUGCCAUGGAUCCCCUAGGGAGGGGGAGCAAGGAAUCUCCAACUCCUUUCCUAGCCCCGCUGCUGGACCCUCCUAACACCCUCCUCUGCCAUCCUUGUCACUCUUUUUGCCUUGGCCCUUCUGGAUUUGGGCUCCACCUCCUUCCUGAGGGUGAGGAUGGUGGUCUUUGUUGCAUUUCCCCAACCCCAGAAGAAUAUGACUUAUAGCUCUACCAGAGCCUCAUUUCUGUGACUUUGUUUCCUUGUCCUCCUUUGCAAGGGACAGUAUGAGGCUGUUCUCAGAGAGCUUUCGUUUCUCCCCACUCAUGGAACACUUCCUGCAGGUGCCCUGGUCUCUGCUUGCAGUCACUUCCUGCUCCAGCACAGGCAUCUUCCCAGCCUGAUAGCCUGGCCCAACUUCACAGCCAAUUCCAGAGACUUCCUGUCUUUGCAGAGCAGUGUGACCUAGGGGCCUCAGGGACUGAGAUGGUUCAAAUGCGGGCUAGAAACUACUUAGGACACCAGUAGGGAGUGGGGACACCAAAUAAAAAAUUAAUCACUUAA